rnacentral:rRNA from 1 species
GACGAACGCUGGCGGCGUGCCUAAUACAUGCAAGUCGAACGAAGUGGGGACGGGUGAGUAACACGUGGGUAACCUCCCAACAGAGGGGAUAACACUUGGAAACAGGUGCUAAACCGAUACUGAUGGAUGGACCCGCGGGGCAUUAGCUAGUUGGUGAGGUAACGGCGCACCAAGGCCACGAUGCAUAGCCGAACUGGGAGGGUGAUCGGCCGCACUGAGACUGAGACCGGGCCCAGACUCCUGCGGGAGGCAGCAGUAGGGAAUCUUCGGCAAUGGACGAGAGUCUGACCGAGCAGCGCCGAGUGAGUGAAGCAGGUUUUCGGUUCGUAAAACUCUGUUGUUAGAGAAGCGGUAUCUAACCAGAAAGCCACGGCUAACUCCGUGCCAGCAGCCGCGGUAAUAC